rnacentral:rRNA from 1 species
GACGAACGCUGGCGGCGUGCUUAACACAUGCAAGUCGAACGGAAAGGCCCUGCUUUUGUGGGGUGCUCGAGUGGCGAACGGGUGAGUAACACGUGAGUAACCUGCCCUUGACUUUGUGAUAACUUCAGGAAACUGGGGCUAAUACCGGAUAGGUGCUCCUGCUGCAUGGUGGGGGUUGGAAAGUUUCGGCGGUUGGGGAUGUACUCGCGGCUUAUCAGCUUGUUUGUGGGGUAGUGGCUUACCAAGGCUUUGACGGGUAGCCGGCCUGAGAGGGUGACCGGCCACAUUGGGACUGAGAUACGGCCCAGACUCCUACGGGAGGCAGCAGUGGGGAAUAUUGCACAAUGGGCGGAAGCCUGAUGCAGCAACGCCGCGUGCGGGAUGACGGCCUUCGGGUUGUAAACCGCUUUCGCCUGUGACGAAGCGUGAGUGACGGUAAUGGGUAAAGAAGCACCGGCUAACUACGUG